UACGUAGGGACCAAGCGUUGUUCGGAUUUACUGGGCGUAAAGGGCGCGUAGGCGGCGCGGUAAGUCACUUGUGAAAUCUCUGAGCUUAACUCAGAACGGCCAAGUGAUACUGCAGCGCUAGGGUGUGGAAGGGGCAAUCGGAAUUCUUGGUGUAGCGGUGAAAUGCGUAGAUAUCAAGAGGAACACCUGAGGUGAAGACGGGUUGCUGGGCCAACACUGACGCUGAGGCGCGAAAGCCAGGGGAGCAAACGGG
rnacentral:rRNA from 1 species